rnacentral:rRNA from 1 species
UACGUAGGGUGCAAGCGUUAAUCGGAAUUACUGGGCGUAAAGCGUGCGCAGGCGGCUAUGCAAGACAGAUGUGAAAUCCCCGGGCUCAACCUGGGAAUUGCGAUGGAGACUGCAAGGCUAGAAUCUGGCAGAGGGGGGUAGAAUUCCACGUGUAGCAGUGAAAUGCGUAGAGAUGUGGAGGAACACCGAUGGCGAAGGCAGGUUACUACUGGUGGAUUGACGCUGAUGGACGAAAGCGUGGGUAGCGAACAGG